GACGAACGCUGGCGGCGUGCUUAACACAUGCAAGUCGAACGGAAAGGCCCUGCUUUUUUGGUGUGCUCGAGUGGCGAACGGGUGAGUAACACGUGAGUAACCUGCCCUUGACUUUGGGAUAACUUCAGGAAACUGGGGCUAAUACCGGAUAGGAGCUCCUGCUGCAUUGUGGGGGUUGGAAAGUUUCGGCGGUUGGGGAUGGACUCGCGGCUUAUCAGCUUGUUGGUGGGGUAGUGGCUUACCAAGGCUUUGACGGGUAGCCGGCCUGAGAGGGUGACCGGCCACAUUGGGACUGAGAUACGGACCAGACGCCUACGGGAGGCAGCAGUGGGGAAUAUUGCACAAUGGGCGGAAGCCUGAGGCAGAAACGCCGCGUGCGGGAUGACGGCCUUCGGGUUGUAAAACGCUUUCGCCUGUGACGAAGCGUGAGUGACGGUAAUGGGUAAAGAAGCACCGGCUAACUACGUG
rnacentral:rRNA from 1 species